rnacentral:tRNA from 2 species
GCGGACGUGGCUCAGUUGGUAGAGCACAACCUUGCCAAGGUUGGGGUCGCGGGUUCGAGUCCCGUCGUCCGCU